GACGAACGCUGGCGGCAGGCCUAACACAUGCAAGUCGAGCGAGCGGCGGACGGGUGAGUAAUGUAUGGGGACUGCCAGUUAGAGGGGGAUAACUACUGGAAACGGUGGCUAAUACCGCAUCCUGUCGGAUAAGCCCUAUGGGAUUAGCGAGUAGGUAAGGUAAUGGCUUACCUAGGUGACGAUCCCUAGCUGGUCUGAGAGGAUGAUCAGCCACACUGGAACUGAGACACGGCCCAGACUCCUACGGAGGCAGAAGUGGGGAAUAUUGCACAAUGGGCGCAAGCCUGAUGCAGCCAUGCCGCGUGUAUGAAGAAGGCCCUAGGGGUGUAAAGUACUUUCAGUCGGGAGGCGUUACCGACAGAAGAAGCACCGGCUAACUCCGUGCCAGCAGCCGCGGUAAUAC
rnacentral:rRNA from 1 species